AUUGAACGCUGGCGGCAUGCCUUACACAUGCAAGUCGAACGGUAACAGGUCUUCGGAUGCUGACGAGUGGCGAACGGGUGAGUAAUACAUCGGAACGUGCCCGAUCGUGGGGGAUAACGCAGCGAAAGCUGUGCUAAUACCGCAUACGAUCUACGGAUGAAAGCGGGGGACUCGCAAGGGCCUCGCGCGGACGGAGCGGCCGAUGGCAGAUUAGGUAGUUGGUGGGAUAAAAGCUUACCAAGCCGACGAUCUGUAGCUGGUCUGAGAGGACGACCAGCCACACUGGGACUGAGACACGGCCCAGACUCCUACGGGAGGCAGCAGUGGGGAAUUUUGGACAAUGGGCGCAAGCCUGAUCCAGCCAUGCCGCGUGCAGGAUGAAGGCC
rnacentral:rRNA from 1 species